GAGCCGAUCUCGAGGGGCUUGCCCCUUNAGAUUAGCGGCGGACGGGUGAGUACACGUGGGCAACCUACCUGUAAGACUGGGAUAACAUCGGGAAACCGAUGCUAAUACCGGAUAAUCCUUUUCCUCUCAUGAGGAAAAGCUGAAAGUCGGUUUACGCUGACACUUACAGAUGGGCCCGCGGCGCAUUAGCUAGUUGGUGAGGUAACGGCUCACCAAGGCGACGAUGCGUAGCCGACCUGAGAGGGUGAUCGGCCACACUGGGACUGAGACACGGCCCAGACUCCUACGGGAGGCAGCAGUAGGGAAUCUUCCACAAUGGACGAAAGUCUGAUGGAGCAACGCCGCGUGAGCGAUGAAGGCCUUCGGGUCGUAAAGCUCUGUUGUUAGGGAAGAACAAGUAUCGGAGUAACUGCCGGUACCUUGACGGUACCUAACCAGAAAGCCACGGCUAACUACGUGCCAGCAGCCGCGGUAAU
rnacentral:rRNA from 1 species